CGUCACGGUCGCCGGACGGACGAAGGAAGAGGGCGCCAUGAUUGGUUGGCGCUGGGGCGGCGGGCGGUGGAGGAGCCUGGCGAGUCAGGGUUUCAAGCCAGCGCUGGGCUUUCUCCAUCCUUAUUUCGAGGCCCUGGGGGGGCUGCAGAGGGCGGGGAGUCAGCUCAGCGGAAACCUAGAUUUGGUUCUAAGAGCCGUAGGAGUGAGAAGGGGUGACCGGAAGUGAUCUUGGGACUGACCGGAAGCGAGGCCUGGAGGGGGAAGAGAGAGUGGAUCCCGGGAGGGAGGGGGCUACUAGCAGAAAGGGGCGGGGGAAAAGGUGCAAAAGCGGCGUGGGAGUGCUGAGUAGGCGGCGGGUUGCUCCUGCGAUUCUGUUUGGAAAGUAGCGAGUGACCACCGCGAGCACAAGAGAGUGCGAGGAGUCCAGGGUUGCCUCUUGGCAGUCUGGAAGAGUUAAGUCAAAGGGCCCUCUCUUUGCUGCAGAGAGCUGGUGGGUAGGGGUUUUGGAAGUCACGGAAGCCAAGAGCGAGGACUCCAGGGUUCGGGAGAUUGUGUGGGCUUUGGGGGUCGGGCUUGGGGGUGGCUCCUGGGUACUGCGUGGAAGAUCUUGGUUUGUAGUUUUCUACAGUUCUUGCAGUCUUGCCCCCGUUGGGUAGAAUCACACUACUCGCCUUUCUACAAGAAACGGUGUCUUCUGGGGCAAGGAAGGAGCCAGGAUGGCCUGGGCUCUGAAGCUGCCUCUGGCCGAUGAGGUGAUUGAAUCCGGGCUGGUGCAGGACUUUGAUGCUAGUCUAUCCGGGAUCGGCCAGGAACUGGGUGCUGGUGCCUAUAGCAUGAGUGAUGUCCUCGCAUUGCCCAUUUUUAAGCAAGAAGAGUCCAGUUUGCCUCCAGAUAAUGAGAAUAAAAUCCUACCUUUUCAGUAUGUGCUGUGUGCUGCCACCUCUCCAGCAGUGAAACUCCAUGAUGAAACCCUGACAUACCUCAAUCAAGGACAGUCUUACGAAAUCCGAAUGCUAGACAAUAGGAAACUUGGAGAACUUCCAGAAAUUAAUGGCAAGUUGGUGAAGAGUAUAUUCCGUGUAGUGUUCCAUGACAGACGACUGCAGUACACUGAACACCAGCAGCUGGAGGGCUGGCGGUGGAACCGACCCGGAGAUAGAAUUCUUGACAUAGAUAUCCCAAUGUCUGUGGGUAUAAUCGACCCUAGGGCUAAUCCCAACCAACUAAAUACAGUGGAAUUCCUCUGGGACCCUGCAAAGAGGACAUCUGUGUUUAUUCAGGUGCAUUGUAUUAGCACAGAGUUUACUAUGAGGAAACACGGUGGAGAGAAGGGCGUGCCAUUUCGAGUACAAAUCGACACCUUCAAGGAGAAUGAGAACGGGGAGUACACUGAACACCUGCACUCAGCCAGCUGCCAGAUCAAAGUCUUCAAGCCCAAAGGUGCAGAUAGAAAGCAAAAAACAGACAGGGAAAAAAUGGAGAAACGAACACCUCACGAGAAGGAGAAAUACCAACCGUCCUAUGAGACGACGAUACUCACAGAGUGUUCUCCAUGGCCCGAGAUCACGUAUGUCAAUAAUUCCCCAUCACCUGGGUUCAACAGUUCCCACAGCAGUUUUCCUCUUGGAGAAGGAAAUGGUUCACCGAACCACCAGCCAGAGCCGCCCCCUCCCGUCACAGAUAACCUCUUGCCAACAACUACACCUCAGGAGGCUCAGCAGUGGUUGCAUCGAAACCGUUUUUCCACCUUCACAAGGCUUUUUACAAACUUCUCAGGGGCAGAUUUAUUGAAACUAACUAGAGAUGAUGUGAUCCAAAUCUGUGGCCCUGCAGAUGGAAUCAGACUUUUUAAUGCAUUAAAAGGCCGGAUGGUGCGCCCAAGGCUAACCAUUUAUGUUUGUCAGGAAUCCUUGCAAUUGAGGGAGCAGCAGCAACAGCAGCAGCAACAGCAGCAGAAGCAUGAGGAUGGAGACUCAAAUGGUACUUUCUUCGGUAGGUCGUUCUGGACAGGCCAGGACAGAUGUGAAGAAAGAUGAAGAAAUGACUUUUGAGCAUGUGUGAUGGGAGUUUAUCAAACAGCAGAUUCAGCAUUUGCUAGAAGUAAUGUUUACCAUGCCAUCUACCUAGAAGAACUGACAGCUGUGGAACUGACGGAAAAAAUCGCUCAGCUUUUCAGCAUUUCCCCAUGCCAGAUCAGCCAGAUCUACAAGCAGGGGCCAACAGGAAUCCAUGUGCUCAUCAGUGACGAGAUGAUACAGAAUUUUCAGGAAGAAGCCUGUUUUAUUCUGGACACAAUGAAAGCAGAAACCAAUGAUAGCUACCAUAUCAUACUGAAGUAGAUGUGGGGCAUUUCGACCUCAGUGGCUGCUGCUUCCUUCACCUGUUGGAAACUCCCCUUUCGAAGGGGAUCCCAAAUGGAGAUUCGAAGGGCUGCAGGAAUGUGACCCAUCCGACUGUGUGUGUGAAAAUCCAGGCCUUGGAGGCAGAAUCCCAGCCAUCCGUGUUGGCCCAAGCUCUUGUGACACAUACUUGAUAACUGCCCAACAUGCAUUUCUGCAACUAUUUCUUAGUCAGAACUUCUGGACGCCAUUGUUGAAUAUCAGUAGAAACUCCGUAUCAUUUAGGGUGUAUGUAGGGCAUAAGGAUGAUAAGAACUGUAUGAUGCUUAAUGGGAAAAUGUUAAAUUUUGUGGUAUGAAGCCAUGUAAUUUUUUUUUUUUUUUUUUGUCUUUUGUCUUUUUAGGCCUGCACCUGGGGCACAUGGAGGUUCCCAGGCUAGGGAUCCAAUUGGAGCUGUAGCCGCCGGCCUAGGCCAGAGCCACACAGCAACGCCAGAUCCGAGCUGCAUCUGUGACCUACACCACAGCUCACGGCAACGCUGGAUCCUUAACCCACUGAGCAAGGCCAGGGAUCGAACCCACAACCUCAUGGUUCCUAGUCAGAUUCGUUUCCGAUGCGCCACGACGGGAACUCCGUAAUUUUUUUCUAAUAUAAAAGUGAGCAUCUAUAUUCAUAAGACUAGAUCCUCAGUCUUUUUUUUGCAUCAGACAUACUGGCUUUUUGCCACAAUUGGCCUCUUAAAAACUUUAUCAGAGUAGAGAAAUACGGAGAUAGAAGAGGAUUCUUUGAUUCCCAUGUAAUUCUAUGACUAAUAGUAUUAGUUCACAUUUAUGGCACAUUUACUUGUGCCAGGCAAUGUGAUAAAUUCUUUAAAUGGAUUAUCUUGUUUAAAUCCUCUUAAUAGCCCUAUAUGAAGUAGGUAAUAAUGAUGCCUAAUUGACGAUGAGGAAAUAGGGACACAGAGUGGCUGAGGUGCUGGCUGAGUAACAGGCAGCUCGUGACCCUGAAAUGCAAACCCAGGCAGUCUGGCUCUCAUUAAAUGCCAUCCAGGACCUCCACCCCUGCAGUCCCCUGUGCUGCCAUCAUCCCCCACUGUGACUCUUCUGGUGACUAGGACAUACCCUGAGUAAGGAUUAAUAGCAAAAGGGAUAAGCCACACCUAAAUACCGAUGAAUAAGUCAACCCUACGGAUAAUGGAAACAGUCACUUGAAGCAUCAGCAGUUAUCAGACUCACAGAAUUUGAAGUGGUAAAAACUAGGGGUUAUCUGUAACUCCCCACAUUCACUGUCUUUGAAUGACCUUCUCAAACUAUUUAUUGAGUUAGACUAACCCCUGCUUUCUUCGUCCCCUCUCUGCAUCUUCUCUGGGUAUGGGAAGUUCUUUUACUCGUGUAGCAUUCUUUUAUAUAAGCUUUAUGAAAUUCAUCCCAGUCCCAUGCACACUCUUGGCAUAUACUUUAGUUCUUGCUCAUUGUGAUUGUGUGCGCUUGUGUGUGUGUAUGUGUAAGACUAUGGGUUUUCUUUUUUUCACAUGUGAAGUUUUAACCAAAAAUCCUUUACACAUUAUGCUGAGGUGAAAAAAAGGUGAUGUUCAAAAGGUUUUGUAUUGGAUUUGGAUCUAUGUGUGUGUGUAUUUUUAAAGCAUUUGAUAAAGUUUAAAUGUUUUUAUACAGAGAUUUUCGUUCAUUAAAAUCAACCUGCAACAUGG